CNACCUGCCCAUCACUUGGGGAUAACCUUGCGAAAGUAAGACUAAUACCCAAUGAUAUCUCUAGAAGACAUCUGAAGGAGAUUAAAGAUUUAUCGGUGAUGGAUGGGGAUGCGUCUGAUUAGCUUGUUGGCGGGGUAACGGCCCACCAAGGCGACGAUCAGUAGGGGUUCUGAGAGGAAGGUCCCCCACAUUGGAACUGAGACACGGUCCAAACUCCUACGGGAGGCAGCAGUGAGGAAUAUUGGUCAAUGGACGAGAGUCUGAACCAGCCAAGUAGCGUGCAGGAUGACGGCCCUAUGGGUUGUAAACUGCUUUUAUAAGGGAAUAAAGUUAGUCUCGUGAGACUUUUUGCAUGUACCUUAUGAAUAAGGACCGGCUAAUUCCGUGCCAGCAGCCGCGGUAAUACGGAAGGUCCGGGCGUUAUCCGGAUUUAUUGGGUUUAAAGGGAGCGUAGGCCGGAGAUUAAGCGUGUUGUGAAAUGUAGACGCUCAACGUCUGCACUGCAGCGCGAACUGGUUUCCUUGAGUACGCACAAAGUGGGCGGAAUUCGUGGUGUAGCGGUGAAAUGCUUAGAUAUCACGAAGAACUNNNAUUG
rnacentral:rRNA from 1 species